rnacentral:rRNA from 1 species
GAUGAACGCUGGCGGCGUGCCUAAUACAUGCAAGUAGAACGCUGAAGCUUGGUGCUUGCACCGAGCGGAUGAGUUGCAAACGGGUGAGUAACGCGUAGGUAACCUGCCUCUUAGCGGGGGAUAACUAUUGGAAACGAUAGCUAAUACCGCAUAAAAGUUGACAUUGCAUGAUGUUGAUUUGAAAGAUGCAAUUGCAUCACUAAGAGAUGGACCUGCGUUGUAUUAGCUAGUUGGUGAAGUAACGGCUCACCAAGGCGACGAUACAUAGCCGACCUGAGAGGGUGAGCGGCCACACUGGGACUGAGACACGGCCCAGACUCCUACGGGAGGCAGCAGUAGGGAAUCUUCGGCAAUGGACGGAAGUCUGACCGAGCAAAGCCGCGUGAGUGAAGAAGGUUUUCGGAUCGUAAAGCUCUGUUGUAAGAGAAGAACGAGUGUGAGAGUGGAAAGUUCACACUGUGACGGUAACUUACCAGAAAGGGACGGCUAACUACGUG